ensembl:lncRNA
GUGGCUGUGAAAGCUGGCAGCUAUUCCCUGCUCCCUGCAUCUCUCUGCAGCUGACUGCUGCCCCCGGGUGAUGGGAGCUGGAGGGAGGGAGAAGAAGAUGGUUUGCAGAAGCCACCAACUGCUGCCUGACCUGGACUGGUGAACUCUUCCUGUAGCAUUGCCACUGAAUUUCACUGUCACAACCAUCUAGUUUGAUCUACCCAAUAAGAGGAUCUCAUCACAGCUGAGCGACAUGGAAGUUGGGGGUUUCUAGUGGAGACAACAUGACCUUUCAGGAAGAAAUGGCCAUCCUCUGGCAGCCGUUUCACUGAUUUACCUUCCUUGUGAAUUGAAGGGGAGUCCUACUUAGUACAGCACCUUCCCAAACUCCUCAAGCUGCUAUAGACCAAAGUGCUGCUUCAGGUUGUAACUACUAAAACUACUACUACUACUAAAGUAGUAACUACUAUUGCUUCUGAACUAUUAGGAAGUCGUCAAGAAGAAAACAGACCUGGAAGCCUUGUCCUCCAUCAUCUAUUUGUACCUCUGUUACCAGAUUCCAUGCACUGCAGCAGUGAGUGAUCUGGUGUGAGCAACUAUGAUGGUCAGAUGCAUAUGCUGCAAUAAUAAGAAGCUCAUGGAAAGGAGUAUCACUGUGGUGAGAGGAUCCUCUAUGAGUGUGUUGAACUGUUGCAUGGACCCUGGACUUCAUGAGGUGAAUGUAACUGUAGAUUUUAGACCAUCUUCACAAUAUGAAUGUUCAUAACAUUAAUUACUGAAAUGGUGAAUUCCCCUUCUUGGCUUUCCUGGUUGGACAGAGCAUUACUGAGCUCUAAAUGGGAAGCUGAUCACAAAUAGGACACAAGCUUUUGGCUUGUGUACUGGCUCUGCAAAGAAAACCAGAUUCAAAAUAACAUUUAGAACUGUUGGGUUUCUGCCCACCAGCUCUAUUUACUGCCAAAACUGCUCAUGACCAGACAAGUUGGAGUACAAGAUUCAAACAUUCCACCAGGUUCAGGCCAGAAAACAAACCCAGGAGAGAGGCAGAUAGAUUGACUCACGCCUGUAUCAGGACAAUUCCAGAGUCUGGGGGUACUUUGUGCUGUCCUUUAACUGUAACUGAAGAAUGAAAACUGUGCAACACCCUCACUGACUGAAUCUUGUUAUCCUCUCCUGAGAUGCUGCUUACAAGGGAAGGUGACCCUGCAGAACGUAUUGUUGCUGUAUGGUAUCGACCUAUACAUCGCAAUGACACCAUCCUGUUUUGUAAUGACAUAAGAAAGGAUUGUAAAAGUUUAAUGUAAAACCCUAUCUUGUAUCAGAGGAGCCAGAGUUUCACAUGACUUUGGUACUGAAGACAAACAUGGCUGUGGCUGCAGAAGCCAAAGAUGUUGAGAAACAGCAGAAUACAGCGUCAUGCUAAUCCCUGAGGUGAUGCCAAGUUGUUGCCAGGUUGCCCGAUGUUAAAGCAACACACUAUAUUUUUGAGCUUGCAUCCCCACUUCCUGGUCCAAAGCUGAAAACAGCCAAGGUUCCUGCAUGUACUACAUGCAAUAAACACAGCACAGACGUAUUAAUGUUGCCUGAAGAGGAGGAUGCUGUAUGUGACUGCUCCGUCUAGAGACUGGAAGACAUUCUCACCUGGAAAGAAGUCCCUGCAGAUCAGCAGUACAGUGCUCCAGGCUUGUAUCUACCUGGCCAUACAGCUGCACAAUCAAAACUUCUGCCAAGCUGGCUGAGGAUAAACUGCAAGCCUGAAGGAAAUAUCCAGGAAUUCCCAGAACUGCUAACAGGCUGAGCAAGCUGAAACAACUCCACCUGAUCAAUCUCAAGAAAAGUAUUUGCAGCGCUGGUAGUUCUGUGCCCUUUCCCUUUGUGAGAAGCUGUUAGGAACAUGCUCUAGAGACUGGCCUGCCAAAACUGCAAAUUUCUUUCCAGCUUUGGCUUUUCAAAAGUGACAGGCAAUAAUAAAAUGUAUAUGCAUUCCUGCUAUGGGAAGGCAUCUUAUGUCUGUAGCUUGAGAUUUUUCCUGAGCAUCAAUCACUAACAUGCUCUGAACUGUACAUGAUUGGCUUGCUCAGUGCUGCAUGAAGAUAUCUUAUGGAGAGCAGUUUUGCAAGCAAUUUUUAUGCAGACAUUGGUAAUUUUACAGUUCAUACAAACUGAGUCAAAAAGAAAUCUUCAGACUUCAUGCCUUUCACAGAUAAGUCUGAUGGAAGGACCAUGACAAGAAAAUCCCCCUUAGGGAUUUUCUGUUAUACUUCUAUGAAGGGAAAGUUGGACCAACAAGCAGUGUUUAUUUUGAGAAACUGAAAACUUUAGACACAUGGCUUACCCGAAUCUUUUUUUUUUUUUUAAUGUAAUGUGAAUUAUUACAUUUAAUUUAGCUUUUGAUUCUGAUUGCAAGAUUUUCAAGAAUGGUUAAUAUAAAGAAGUUGUGUGAUAAAAAUGGAGCAGGUCAGAGCUCAGGGAACACGUACCAGAGCCAGAUUAUAUUAUAUUAUUGCAUAGCUAUAUAACAGGACAGAAAAGGUGUCUGAAAUAAACUCUUCAAUGAUUUCUUCCAAAUGUUGGCUCUUUUGAAAUUAUUCUUGGUAUUUAAACAAAUUUU